rnacentral:rRNA from 1 species
ACCUGAGAAUGGCAGUGGAAACUAUGGGACUUGAAUCUGGCAGAGGGGGGUGGAAUGCCACGUGUAGCAGUGAAAUGCGUAGAGAUGUGGCGGAACACCGAUGGCGAAGGCAGCCCCCUGGGCUGAGAUUGACGCUCAGGCACGAAAGCGUGGGGAGCAAACAGGAUUAGAUACCCUGGUAGUCCACGCCCUAAACGAUGACAACUAGGUGUUGGGGAAGCGAUUUCUCAGUACCGCAGCUAACGCGUGAAGUUGUCCGCCUGGGGAGUACGGUCGCAAGAUUAAAACUCAAAGGAAUUGACGGGGACCCGCACAAGCGGUGGAUGAUGUGGAUUAAUUCGAUGCAACGCGAAUAACCUUACCUACCCUUGACAUGUACGGAAGCUCAUCGAGAGGUGAGUGUGCCCGAAAGGG